GAAAAACAAAACAAAACAAAAACAAACAAAAAAAACACUAUUUCUUGAGGCACUGCUAUUUUCAUUUUACAGUCAAGAAAGUCAAAAAUUUAGAAAGGGGCAAGUUCAAGAUCUAAGAAGAAUGAAGAGAGCAUAAGCUACCUUAUUUUCCACUGAGUGCCUUUUCUGCAGUGUGAAACAUCAAACUUUAUUACCAUUGACAGCAAUUAUAGCUUAAUUGAAUAAAUAAGGAAGAAGAAGAUUAUUGAUUAGCAGAGGAGCCUUUUUUUCUUUUUUUUUUUUUUUCUUUUCAGAUAUUUUGGAAUUCUUCUAUGAAGGGAAUGCAGAGGAGAAACAAUGAAUAACUGUAUUGAAUACACAUCGCCAACUCUACUCCUUUCCGUUGAGUCAAAGCUGAUUGCCAGUCCCUGUGGCAAAGUGUGUGUGUUGCAAUCUGGAGUUGCAGAGGGAUGGAGUUACACCAGAGACAAAGGUGUGGAGUCUGACCUCUCCAGCAGCAGACUACUUCGGCAGACUGUAGAAGAACUGUGUGUAAUUAACACCAAAAAGAAAUUGAUUUGAGAAGACAAAGGCUCUCAUCAAAGGAUAACAUGGUAAGGAAAAAGACAAGGCUGUUGAUAAAACUUUAAUGGGAACUGGCAAAAAAGAACCGCCACAGCUGUAAAUUUUGGCAUAAUGUUGAGUGUUAUUAGAAGAGCAGAGUCAAACUGUGCUAUGUUAAGAAAUUUGCUUCUCUUCUAUGAUUU
rnacentral:lncRNA from 1 species